GGACCGCUCCGGUGACUUAGUUUUUAGAGCGUCCGCCUUGGAUGCGGGAGGUCGUGGGUUCGAUCCCCGGUCGAUUCA